GAAUGGAAGCUAUCCAUUGAAGUUUCAAUGUUUUCUAUCCAAUUCUUGAGAUCCAGCAAAUAUGUCAGAUAUUUACAGAAUACAGAAUACAGAUUCAUAAAAGGUCAGAGAAAGCUGUUAUAUACGAUAAGGAAUAGUAAAAGAUGACCAUUAUUCCGAAAACGAACAGUUUUUAAAAAGCUGCAUAUUACAAGGAACUGACAAAAGAAAGAAAUCAGAAAAUAAUAACAAGUACUACGUUAACAAUUCGGAAACAUAUAAAACAAAAAACGUUAUUGAAUACAGUCAAACCACAGAUGCAAUUACAAAAAGGAAUCAAAGAUUGAAAAUCAAAGAAAAACGUGUGAAAGCGAGAAAUGACCAAAGGACGCAAAUGCUGAAGAAAAACUUAGAUUUGGAUGAAAACUUUAAAGAAAACGAUACUUUUCGAAACAGAAUGGAUAAGUCGCGAUCUUUGAAAAACAUUAAAGAAUGUUUGCCUGCAAGCCCUCUUAACGUGUAGCAGUUUUGAAUGCCUACAUAAAGUCUUCGCCUGUAAUGAAUUCGAUAAUAAAGAAAUUGAAAGCAAACUCCGAAUUGAAAACUGUAGGGACAGUAAUUUACAAUCUACAAACAUUUAUAAGUAAAUCAAAAUCUAAAAGAAGUGACGAUGACAGAAUGACAAUGAACAUUUUAAAAGUGUCCAUAAGUGGAGAGGAUAUAGGUGACCCUGUGUCAAACAGAAAUAUAUCCAAAACUUUGGGAUUAAAACCUAGGAGACCGUUUGGAGGACGACGAAUAGGAACUCAAAUUUUACAAAAACAGAAAAAUCUUGUUUUAAAAUAACUUUUUUAAAGAAAAACAAGAAGUGAUGCAGUUUCUGACGAUAUUAAGAAAACUGUCUUUGACUUUUGGUGUUCACCCUCUAUUUCAAGAACUUCAUCAAAUAAGAAAGAUAUUAAAAGAAUGCGAAUUUCAUCCAAAACAUACUCAUCCCAUCAGAUACAGCUUUUAGAAAAAACUCAAACGGAAAUUUUUCUAGAAAUUAAAAUAAAGUAUCCCGAAAUCAAAAUAAGUCAGCGCUUAUUUGAAAAUUAUAAACCUUUCUUUGUGUUACCAUUGCGGCCUGAAGACCGGUGUACAUAUUGCUGACGCCAGCAUGUUGAAAUGUUAUGUUUGUUUAAGCGGUGCAUGUAAUUUCUAAAAUUUACUUUAAAGAACAAAUCAAAUGAUGUCAGAAAUAAUUAUCCUAUAUUUGAGCAAAUCAGCGAUGUAGUUAGUCAGACUAUGUGUCCGAAAAAUACAAAUGACUAUUUUAAUGAAUUACAGUGUUUGAUAAGAGAGUGUGACAAGAUUGGGGUUUCCAAAAAUAAAUACUUACCUGAAGAAUUAAAUAUGUCUGAAAAAUCCGUAAAUGUAAUGUGGGAACGGUACGAAUAUCAACAUUUCUGGAAAAGGUGGAAAAAUUUGUAGAAAAUUACAAUUUCUUUCAAAGAUUUCAAAACCAGGAAUAAUGUUUCAAUGUUUUCAAAAAAUACUCACUGAGUUUCCUUCGAACCAAUAUCGAGCGAAUUGGCAGAGUACACAAUUCAUAAGUCUUCUAGAUAAUUUUAUCAUGCAAUAUGUGUCCACGACUACGCGGAAAGUUACAGAUGUUCAGACCACCGCGAAAUUCAAUCUAGUUAUUUUCAAAAAACUGAAGUAAGCAUCCAUGUGACAAUUUUAUACCGACUGCAGUACAUGGUAAAGAUGGAAUAGACAAUUCUUUUGUGAAUCCAAACAUAAUUUGUUAACAGUUUUUUAUAAUCAAUCCAGAUCUGCAACACAAUCGAAGUUUCACACAAUACUGUCAAAAACAAAUAUCUGACUACCUAAAAUCCAUUUCGGUGAGUGUAUCUUGCAUGCAUAAGUAGACCGAUGGUUGUUCAGCCCAAUACAAAAGUAGAUUUUGCAUGGGAGAUGUCAGUAACAAUACUCUUGGUUACAAAACACUUGAAUGUAAUUUUUUACGAAACUUCACACGCCAAGGGUCCACAAGACAUCGCUGGUGGGUUCUUAAAAAAACAGGCAGAUAUCGCUGUUCUUAGGCGAAAAUCUAAAAUUCAGUGUGCUAAGUACUUUGAUGACUUUUGUGAAAAUCGUCUACAAACACCGAAAUCCGGAGUAUACAAUUGACGUAUAUUUAGAUAUACAGAGAAUAUUCCGCGCGAUGAUAUUGCACAUCAAAAAACAAUUACUCAUCAAAUUAUAUCACAUAACACAUCACCAGGAGACAGGAUCACGAUUCAUCUUUUGUUAUGAAUAUGAAGACUGUGUGAAAGGAAAUAUCCAAAACUGUUUUAACUGGAGAUUUGUCAGAGAUUUUAAAUUAAUUAGCAUGAAAGAAAGAAAUUCUCAGGCUAUUGAAUCAACUGAUCACGAAGAAGACGUUGUUUAGGUAGCACACCUUAUUGAAAGUAACCCGAAAACACUUUGUUCUAGAACCUGAACGUAGUGAUGUAUUAGGUGGUACUUUUCAAACUGGUGCAUUCGUUUAUACAAAGUCAGUGUGCUACAUUUGUGUAGAACUAAAUCCAAGCAAAACUAUUGCCAUUCCUGAACAUUUACAUAUAAUAAAGAGUUUAGAAAUGUAAUUUAUUCUGACAUUGUGGGGGAGGCUAUUUUUGAUAUACUUUCAACCGUUUUAACAAAAGUAGGUAAGAGACACCGUAAAAAUGUGGAAAACGGUACCUUUUGUAGCGUUACCUUACGUUACGCAGUAACGUGCGUUCAGUCUGUGUACUUGUUUCUUGUAGGGAUUAACAUACAAAUGGAAAUUGUCAGAUAAAACAUGUAAUUGUGAUGAUUUAAAAUCUAUGAUUAUUAUUUAGUUCAGAAAUAUAUGAAGAUUCAUCUUUAUAAAACUUUUGAAGUA